UUAUGUUGACGAGCGGCGGACGGGUGAGUAAUGUCUGGGAAACUGCCUGAUGGAGGGGGAUAACUACUGGAAACGGUAGCUAAUACCGCAUAACGUCUUCGGACCAAAGAGGGGGACCUUCGGGCCUCUUGCCAUCAGAUGUGCCCAGAUGGGAUUAGCUAGUAGGUGAGGUAAUGGCUCACCUAGGCGACGAUCCCUAGCUGGUCUGAGAGGAUGACCAGCCACACUGGAACUGAGACACGGUCCAGACUCCUACGGGAGGCAGCAGUGGGGAAUAUUGCACAAUGGGCGCAAGCCUGAUGCAGCCAUGCCGCGUGUGUGAAGAAGGCCUUCGGGUUGUAAAGCACUUUCAGCGGGGAGGAAGGCGGUGAGGUUAAUAACCUCAUCGAUUGACGUUACCCGCAGAAGAAGCACCGGCUAACUCCGUGCCAGCAGCCGCGGUAAUACGGAGGGUGCAAGCGUUAAUCGGAAUGACUGGGCGUAAAGCGCACGCAGGCGGUUUGUUAAGUCAGAUGUGAAAUCCCCGAGCUUAACUUGGGAACUGCAUUUGAAACUGGCAAGCUAGAGUCUUGUAGAGGGGGGUAGAAUUCCAGGUGUAGCGGUGAAAUGCGUAGAGACUGGAGGAAUACCGGUGGCGAAGGCGGCCCCCUGGACAAAGACUGACGCUCAGGUGCGAAAGCGUGGGGAGCAAACAGGAUGCA
rnacentral:rRNA from 1 species